rnacentral:rRNA from 1 species
AGAGUUUGAUCCUGGCUCAGGAUGAACGCUAGCUACAGGCUUAACACAUGCAAGUCGAGGGGCAGCAUGGUCUUAGCUUGCUAAGGCCGAUGGCGACCGGCGCACGGGUGAGUAACACGUAUCCAACCUGCCGUCUACUCUUGGACAGCCUUCUGAAAGGAAGAUUAAUACAAGAUGGCAUCAUGAGUCCACAUGUUCACAUGAUUAAAGGUAUUCCGGUAGACGAUGGGGAUGCGUUCCAUUAGAUAGUAGGCGGGGUAACGGCCCACCUAGUCUUCGAUGGAUAGGGGUUCUGAGAGGAAGGUCCCCCACAUUGGAACUGAGACACGGUCCAAACUCCUACGGGAGGCAGCAGUGAGGAAUAUUGGUCUAUGGUCGGCAGACUGAACCAGCCAAGUCGCGUGAGGGAAGACGGCCCUACGGGUUGUAAACCUCUUUUGUCGGAGAGUAAAGUGCGCUACGCGUAGCGUAUUGCAAGUAUCCGAAGAAAAAGCAUCGGCUAACUCCGUGCCAGCAGCCGCGGUAAUACGGAGGAUGCGAGCUUUAUCCGGACUUAUUGGGUUUAAAGGGUGCGUAGGCGGCACGCCAAGUCAGCGGUGAAAUUUCCGGGCUCAACCCGGACUGUGCCGUUGAAACUGGCGAGCUAGAGUGCACAAGAGGCAGGCGGAAUGCGUGGUGUAGCGGUGAAAUGCAUAGAUAUCACGCAGAACCCCGAUUGCGAAGGCAGCCUGCUAGGGUGCGACAGACGCUGAGGCACGAAAGCGUGGGUAUCGAACAGGAUUAGAUACCCUGGUAGUCCACGCAGUAAACGAUGAUAACUCGUUGUCGGCGAUACACAGUCGGUGACUAAGCGAAAGCGAUAAGUUAUCCACCUGGGGAGUACGUUCGCAAGAAUGAAACUCAAAGGAAUUGACGGGGGCCCGCACAAGCGGAGGAACAUGUGGUUUAAUUCGAUGAUACGCGAGGAACCUUACCCGGGCUUGAAAGUUAGCGACGAUUCUUGAAAGAGGAUUUCCCUUCGGGGCGCGAAACUAGGUGCUGCAUGGUUGUCGUCAGCUCGUGCCGUGAGGUGUCGGGUUAAGUCCCAUAACGAGCGCAACCCCUACCGUUAGUUGCCAUCAGGUGAAGCUGGGCACUCUGGCGGGACUGCCGGUGUAAGCCGAGAGGAAGGUGGGGAUGACGUCAAAUCAGCACGGCCCUUACGUCCGGGGCUACACACGUGUUACAAUGGUAGGUACAGAGGGCAGCUACCCAGCGAUGGGAUGCGAAUCUCGAAAGCCUAUCUCAGUUCGGAUUGGAGGCUGAAACCCGCCUCCAUGAAGUUGGAUUCGCUAGUAAUCGCGCAUCAGCCAUGGCGCGGUGAAUACGUUCCCGGGCCUUGCACUCACCGCCCGUCAAG